ACUAUGGAGAGUUUGAUCCUGGCUCAGGAUGAACGCUAGCGGCAGGCCUAAUACAUGCAAGUCGAACGGGUAGC
rnacentral:rRNA from 1 species